GAUGAACGCUGGCGGCGUGCCUAAUACAUGCAAGUCGAGCGAACAGAUGAGGAGCUUGCUCCUCUGACGUUAGCGGCGGACGGGUGAGUAACACGUGGAUAACCUACCUAUAAGACUGGGAUAACUUCGGGAAACCGGAGCUAAUACCGGAUAAUAUAUUGAACCGCAUGGUUCAAUAGUGAAAGACGGUUUUGCUGUCACUUAUAGAUGGAUCCGCGCCGCAUUAGCUAGUUGGUAAGGUAACGGCUUACCAAGGCAACGAUGCGUAGCCGACCUGAGAGGGUGAUCGGCCACACUGGAACUGAGACACGGUCCAGACUCCUACGGGAGGCAGCAGUAGGGAAUCUUCCGCAAUGGGCGAAAGCCUGACGGAGCAACGCCGCGUGAGUGAUGAAGGUCUACGGAUCGUAAAACUCUGUUAUUAGGGAAGAACAAAUGUGUAAGUAACUAUGCACGUCUUGACGGUACCUAAUCAGAAAGCCACGGCUAACUACGUG
rnacentral:rRNA from 1 species